rnacentral:rRNA from 1 species
CCUACGGGGGGCAGCAGUGAGGAAUAUUGGUCAAUGGGCUUACGCCUGAGCCAGCCAAGUCGCGUGAGGGAAUAAUGCCCUACGGGUCGUAAACCUCUUUUGCCGGGGAGCAAGGCCCGGGACGCGUCCCCGCCCUGAGAGUACCCGGAGAAAAAGCAUCGGCUAACUCCGUGCCAGCAGCCGCGGUAAUACGGAGGAUGCGAGCGUUAUCCGGAUUUAUUGGGUUUAAAGGGUGCGUAGGCGGGCUUUUAAGUCAGCGGUAAAAAUUCGGGGCUCAACCCCGUCCGGCCGUUGAAACUGGCGGC